rnacentral:lncRNA from 1 species
CUAAGCAUUGGCUUAUGUAGUUCUUGCAUUGUAGGUGAACAUGGAACUACAUCGAGAGCAUGGCUAGCUGUGGAGCUCCUACAGGAUUCCAGAGUUCGAUGUACAUGGAUGACGACCUGUAGGGUUAUGUUUUAGGCUGCUAUUUGUUGGGUUAUAUUUUGGAAUCCUAUGUAGUGUACUUUUGAAAUGGCUUGUAGACAUGUUUAUAAGCUCAGAAUAUAUAUGUUGGAUUAUCACAAUAUGAUUUUGCGUUUUAAUAUGUUAUAUGAUCGUGCACGUGUGAUUAAAAGUUAACAAACUGGAAAAAAAAUUAUAUGUAAAAUUCUAUAUCUAGGUUGUGUAUAGAUAUCAAUGUUAAUUUGAGGGUGUGACAGAGAGUGGUAUCAGAGCGAGGUUAUAAUUCUG